rnacentral:rRNA from 1 species
GACGAACGCUGGCCCCGUGCUUAACACAUGCAAGUCGAACGGAAAGGCCCUGCUUUUGUGGGGUGCUCGAGUGGCGAACGGGUGAGUAACACGUGAGUAACCUGCCCUUGACUUUGGGAUAACUUCAGGAAACUGGGGCUAAUACCGGAUAGGAGCUCCUGCUGCAUGGUGGGGGUUGGAAAGUUUCGGCGGUUGGGGAUGGACUCGCGGCUUAUCAGCUUGUUGGUGGGGUAGUGGCUUACCAAGGCUUUGACGGGUAGCCGGCCUGAGAGGGUGACCGGCCACAUUGGGACUGAGAUACGGCCCAGACUCCUACGGGAGGCAGCAGUGGGGAAUAUUGCACAAUGGGCGGAAGCCUGAUGCAGCAACGCCGCGUGCGGGAUGACGGCCUUCGGGUUGUAAACCGCUUUCGCCUGUGACGAAGCGUGAGUGACGGUAAUGGGUAAAGAAGCACCGGCUAACUACGUGCCAGCAGCCGCGGUGAUACGUAGGGUGCGAGCGUUGUCCGGAUUUAUUGGGCGUAAAGGGCUCGUAGGUGGUUGAUCGCGUCGGAAGUGUAAUCUUGGGGCUUAACCCUGAGCGUGCUUUCGAUACGGGUUGACUUGAGGAAGGUAGGGGAGAAUGGAAUUCCUGGUGGAGCGGUGGAAUGCGCAGAUAUCAGGAGGAACACCAGUGGCGAAGGCGGUUCUCUGGGCCUUUCCUGACGCUGAGGAGCGAAAGCGUGGGGAGCGAACAGGCUUAGAUACCCUGGUAGUCCACGCUGUAAACGGUGGGUACUAGGUGUGGGGUCCAUUCCACGGGUUCCGUGCCGUAGCUAACGCUUUAAGUACCCCGCCUGGGGAGUACGGCCGCAAGGCUAAAACUCAAAGGAAUUGACGGGGCCCCGCACAAGCGGCGGAGCAUGCGGAUUAAUUCGAUGCAACGCGUAGAACCUUACCUGGGUUUGACAUGGAUCGGGAGUGCUCAGAGAUGGGUGUGCCUCUUUUGGGGUCGGUUCACAGGUGGUGCAUGGCUGUCGUCAGCUCGUGUCGUGAGAUGUUGGGUUAAGUCCCGCAACGAGCGCAACCCUUGUUCACUGUUGCCAGCACGUUAUGGUGGGGACUCAGUGGAGACCGCCGGGGCCAACUCGGAGGAAGGUGGGGAUGACGUCAAGUCAUCAUGCCCCUUAUGUCCAGGGCUUCACGCAUGCUACAAUGGCUGGUACAGAGAGUGGCGAGCCUGUGAGGGUGAGCGAAUCUCGGAAAGCCGGUCUCAGUUCGGAUUGGGGUCUGCAACUCGACCUCAUGAAGUCGGAGUCGCUAGUAAUCGCAGAUCAGCAACGCUGCGGUGAAUACGUUCCCGGG